rnacentral:ncRNA from 1 species
AUCGGGAGAAUCCGGUGGUGGGCAACCCCGCCGGUGCCGAAGGAGCAACCGCCCCGGUAAACUCUCAGGCGCAAGGACCGGC